UACGUAGGGUGCGAGCGUUAAUCGGAAUUACUGGGCGUAAAGCGUGCGCAGGCGGUUCGUUGUGUCGGUGGUGAAAGCCCCGGGCUUAACCUGGGAAUGGCCAUGGAAACUGGCGAACUGGAGUGUGGCAGAGGGGGGGUGGAAUUCCGCGUGUAGCAGUGAAAUGCGUAGAGAUGCGGAGGAACACCGAUGGCGAAGGCGGCAUCCUGGACCGGCAUUGACGCUGAGGCGCGAAAGCCAGGGGAGCAAACGGG
rnacentral:rRNA from 1 species